rnacentral:rRNA from 1 species
UUCCGGUUGAUCCUGCCGGACCUGACUGCUAUCGGAUUGAUACUAAGCCAUGCGAGUCAUUGUAGCAAUACAAGGCAGACGGCUCAGUAACGCGUAGUCAACCUACCCUAUGGACGGGAAUAACCUCGGGAAACUGAGUAUAAUGCCCGAUAGAACAUUAUACCUGGAAUGGUUUAUGUUCCAAAUGAUUUAUCGCCGUAGGAUGGGACUGCGGCCUAUCAGUUUGUUGGUGAGGUAAUGGCCCACCAAGACUAUUACAGGUACGGGCUCUGANAGGAGUGGCCCGGANAUGGGUACUGAGACACGGACCCAGGCCCUAUGGGGCGCAGCAGGCGAGAAAACUUUGCAAUGUGCGAAAGCACGACAAGGUUAAUCCGAGUGGUUUCUGCUAAAGGAACCUUUUGUUAGUCCUAAAAACACUAACGAAUAAGGGGUGGGCAAGUUCUGGUGUCAGCCGCCGCGGUAAAACCAGCACCUCAAGUGGUCAGGAUGAUUAUUGGGCCUAAAGCAUCCGUAGCCGGCUCUGUAAGUUUUCGGUCAAAUCUGUACGCUUAACGUACAGGCUGCCGGGAAUACUGCAGAGCUAGGGAGUGGGAGAGGUAGACGGUACUCGGGAGGAAGUGGUAAAAUGCUUUGAUCUCUCGAUGACCACCUGUGGCGAAGGCGGUCUACCAGAACACGUCCGACGGUGAGGGAUGAAAGCUGGGGGAGCAAACCGGAUUAGAUACCCGGGUAGUCCCAGCUGUAAACUAUGCAAACUCAGUGAUGCAUUGGCUUGUGGCCAAUGCGGUGUUGCAGGGAAGCCGUUAAGUUUGCCGCCUGGGAAGUACGUACGCAAGUAUGAAACUUAAAGGAAUUGGCGGGGGAGCACCACAAGGGGUGAAGCCUGCGGUUCAAUUGGAGUCAACGCCGGGA